ACCUGAUUAGGUUAUAAAAAAGUGUGGAAACGGAAUUGCUGCCGCUUUAAUUACAAAGUAAUGUACAAAUAUGCCAUUAAUUCUCGCAACAAAGUGCCUAUAUAACACGCCGACCAAUUUGCUUCUGCCCAUUUGUGCAGAAAACGCGAAAUGCGAGAGUUAAUAAUUUUAACGGUAUUCUUAAUAUGCUGGGCGAUGAAUGGAAAUCUGGCUCAGCCCCUUUUUUAUCGAGAGCAUGAUGCUAGUCACUGUGACACUGCCAACGAUGGAGUGCAUGGCGUCUGCAAGGCCGAUUGUGAUGAUACCGAUAUCGUUCCUGGGAACUGCCUAAAUGGAAAGGUAUGUUGUUCCUUUGAUGAGCGGGAACAACCUUUCAGAGAGUACGCGUAAAAAUAGUUCGUUUGUGUAGUCACACUAUUUCCUAUAAAUUCGAAAAAAUAAAAUUUCAGUAAAUCA